rnacentral:snoRNA from 3 species
GUCCUCUUCCCCUGAGUCAGGGCUGGAGGCCAAGAUCAGUCUUUGAGGAUCAGUGUUGGCACAAGCCGGCCAGCAGGCUUGUUUUCCAGCCUCAGGCAUCU